rnacentral:rRNA from 1 species
UACAGAGGGGGCAAGCGUUGUUCGGAAUUACUGGGCGUAAAGGGCGCGUAGGCGGCCUGUUAAGUCGAACGUGAAAUCCCCGGGCUCAACCCGGGAACUGCGUCCGAUACUGGCAGGCUUGAAUCCGGGAGAGGGAUGCGGAAUUCCCGGUGUAGCGGUGAAAUGCGUAGAUAUCGGAGGAACACCUGUGGCGAAAGCGGCUCACUGGACCACAACUGACGCUGAGGCGCGAAAGCUAGGGGAGCAAACAGG